rnacentral:rRNA from 1 species
GGAAGUAAAAAGUCGUAACAAGGUCUCCGUAGGUGAACCUGCGGAGGGAUCAUUACACAAAUAUGAAGGCGGGCUGGAACCUCUCGGGGUUACAGCCUUGCUGAAUUAUUCACCCUUGUCUUUUGCGUACUUCUUGUUUCCUUGGUGGGUUCGCCCACCACUAGGACAAACAUAAACCUUUUGUAAUUGCAAUCAGCGUCAGUAACAAAUUAAUAAUUACAACUUUCAACAACGGAUCUCUUGGUUCUGGCAUCGAUGAAGAACGCAGCGAAAUGCGAUAAGUAGUGUGAAUUGCAGAAUUCAGUGAAUCAUCGAAUCUUUGAACGCACAUUGCGCCCUUUGGUAUUCCAAAGGGCAUGCCUGUUCGAGCGUCAUUUGUACCCUCAAGCUUUGCUUGGUGUUGGGCGUCUUGUCUCUAGCUUUGCUGGAGACUCGCCUUAAAGUAAUUGGCAGCCGGCCUACUGGUUUCGGAGCGCAGCACAAGUCGCACUCUCUAUCAGCAAAGGUCUAGCAUCCAUUAAGCCUUUUUUUUCAACUUUGACCUCGGAUCAGGUAGGAAACCCCAAAAA